AUGAGUUUGCUUUACGAAGCAUGUUCUAGUUCAGUUUCUGAGAUUGAAGGAAUGACUGGUAUGGGUUCUGGUAUUGGGAGCUAUUCUGUUGGGCAGAACCAUUUAUUUUCAUAUGAUCAUAUAAAAUCGGUCGUCGAGCGGUUAGGUGCAGCCGUAAAGACUACUCAGUAUAGCAAUGAAGGGAACACAAAGGAACUAAAGGCUACUGUUCUUGAGUUGCAGCAGGAGCUUCAGGGAAAAGAUGUGCAAAUUAGCACAAUCAGUUCGGAGCUUGCAUCUCAGAUAAGGGAAGCUGAAUCUUAUGCGAAACAGCUUUCUGUUGAGCUUGAAGAUGCAAGAAUGCAAGUACACAAUUUGGAGGAACAUGUUGAGAUGUUGCUUAAUCAGAAGAAAGCUUUAGAGACCCAAGCAAGUGAGCUUAAAGAUUUGGAGACAGUGGCAAGUGAGCAGCAUGGAAGAAUAAAGGAGUUGACUGAUGAACUGAGCAGAAAAGACCAAGAGAUUGAAGGUUUGAUGCAAGCACUUGACGAAGAAGAAAAGGAGCUUGAAGUCUUGGAGAACAAAAGCAAUGACUUGGAGCAGAUGCUGCAAGAAAAAGAAUUUUCUUUGAAGAGCCUUGAAGAUUCUAGGACAAAAGCUCUGACUAAACUUGCAACCACUGUCGACAAGUUUGACGAGUUGCAUAGCUUGUCUGAAAGUCUUCUUGUAGAAGUGGAAAGCCUUCAGUCACAAUUGCAAGAGAGAGAUUCAGAGAUCUCGUUUCUGCGCCAAGAAGUCACAAGGAGUACUAAUGAACUACUAACCACUGACGAUAGCAACAAGCAGUACUCAUCGCAGAUAAAUGAUUUUGUUAAGUGGUUAGAAACUGCGCUGAUGCAGUUUGGUGUGCAUUGUGAGAGUGCAGAUGACCAUGAUUACACUCAGGUUCCAGUAUAUAUGGACAUGUUGGACAAAAAAAUAGUGUCACUGAUAUCUGAAUCAGAUGAUUUGAGGGUUGCUGUGCAAAGCAAAGAUUCUUCACUACAGGUCGAGAGGACCAAAAUGGAAGAGUUGUCGCGUAAAUCAGAGGCUCUAGAAGCUUCUUUGAGCCAAAAGGAUUCUCAGAUAGGGAUGCUUCGUCGAGACAGGACGAUGGGCCAACCUAGAUCUAUAAACUUGCCUGGCACGUCGGAGAUUGAGCAAAUGAAUGACAAAGUAAGCCCAGCUGCAGUUGUCACUCAGAUUCGAGGGGCACGAAAAGUCAACAACGACCAGGUUGCUAUCGAUGUAGAGAUGCACAAGGACAAACCAUUAGAUGAUGAAGAUGAUGAUAAAGCGCAUGGUUUCAAGUCACUGACGAUGUCGCGCAUUGUUCCGAAGUUCACUCGACCUAUAUCAGACAGAAUUGAUGGGAUGUGGGCAUCUGGUGAUAGAUUGCUCAUGAGACAACCAACCUUGAGACUUGGUGUCUUGAUAUACUGGAUAGCAUUGCAUGCAUUGCUUGUGAGUUUUAUUUGA
rnacentral:rRNA from 1 species